UGUCAUCUCAUAACGGGUCAUGACCCCUCAGGGAAGAGGCACAGUCGGAGCUGUCGCCGCAGGUGCCAGUAUAGCUGGUGCCCCCACACAGUACCCCCCAGGCAGAGGUGGACCCCCUCCACCCAUGGGCAGAGGAGCACCUCCCCCAGGUAUGAUGGGACCUCCUCCAGGCAUGCGGUCACCCAUGGGACCUCCAAUAGGAAUGCCCCCUCAGGUUUUGAGUUUGGAGAGCGAGAUGGUCUGUACAGUGAUGACUGGAUCAUGGCAGAUGUUAUGGCUCAGCUGAAGAAGAGGGUGAGGACUUCUGACCUCAUAUCACAUUACACAUGAACCUGAUCUUGUGUGACUGUGACUGCCACCCAUGGGCAGAGCAGCACCUCCCCCAGGUAUGAUGGGACCUCCACCAGUCAUGCGGUCACCCAUGGGACCUCCGAUGGGAAUGCCUCCUCCUGGCAUGAGGCAUUGCCUUGAAUGUUACAGUAUCAAUACUGACGGUCGGAAAGAGCAGUAAGAUGUUGCAGCACAUCGACUUCCGGAUACGGUGUAUCCUGCAGGACGGCCGAAUAUUCUUUGGCAAGUUCAAAGCCUUCGACAAACACAUGAACCUGAUCUUGUGUGACUGUGAUGAGUUCAGAAAGAUCAAGUCAUGACCCCUCAGGGAAUGUCGCCGCAGGUGCCAGUAUAGCUGGUGUCCCCACACAGUACCCCCCAGGCAGAGGUGGACCCCCUCCACCCAUGGGCAAAGCAGUACCUCCCCCAGGUAUGAUGGGACCUCCUCCAGGCAUGCGGUCACCCAUGGGACCUCCGAUGGGAACAGGUUUUGAGUUUGGAGAGCGAGAUGGUCUGUACAGUGAUGACUGGAUCAUGGCAGAUGUUAUGGCUCAGCUGAAGAAGAGGACACUAUGAAAGACAAAAAGAAAUCUGCAGAUACAGCCAUCACAGCGAUGAGUUUUAAGCAGCCCACUCCCAUUCAGAAGGCCUGUGUACCCGUGGGGCUGAUGGGUAAAGACAUCUGCACAUGUGGCAUAUCAGUAUAUCAGUAUAUCAAUACUGACGGUCGGAAAGAGCAGUAAGAUGUUGCAGCACAUCGACUUCCGGAUGCGGUGUAUCCUGCAGGACGGCCGAAUAUUCAUUGGCACGUUCAAAGCCUUCGACAAACACAUGAACCUGAUCUUGUGUGACUGUGAUGAGUUCAGAAAGAUCAAGUGAGCUCUUCUCAAAGAAUUAACUAGUCUUAAGAACCUGUGGACCGUGUUGGAUGUAACUAGUUACGAAGUCAUGACCCCUCAGGGAAUGUCGCCGCAGGUGCCAGUAUAGCUGGUGUCCCCACACAGUACCCGCCGGGCCGAGGUGGACCCCCUCCACCCAUGGGCAAAGCAGUACCUCCCCCAGGUAUGAUGGGACCUCCUCCAGUCAUGCGGUCACCCAUGGGACCUCCGAUGGGAAUGCCCCUCCAGGUUUUCAGUUUGAAAAGCGAGAUGGUCUGUACAGUGAUGACUGGAUCAUGACAGAUGAUCAAUCUUGUCAAUGGAAAUGAAGAUCAGCUGCUUCAGCCCCAACUGAUGGCAUAUAAAAGUGUGUCUCAUUACCAAGGUGUCAUCUCAUAACGGGUCAUGACCCCUCAGGGAAGAGGCACAGUCGGAGCUGUCGCCGCAGGUGCCAGUAUAGCUGGUGCCCCCACACAGUACCCCCCAUGCAGAGGUGGGCCCCCUCCACCCAUGGGCAGAGGAGCACCUCCCCCAGGUAUGAUGGGACCUCCUCCAGUCAUGCGGUCACCCAUGGGACCUCCGAUGGGAAUGCCUCCUCCUGGCAUGAGGCAUUGCCUUGAAUGUUACAGUAUCAAUACUGACGGUCGGAAAGAGCAGUAAGAUGUUGCAGCACAUCGACUUCCGGAUGCGGUGUAUCCUGCAGGACGGCCGAAUAUUCUUUGGCAAGUUCAAAGCCUUCGACAAACACAUGAACCUGAUCUUGUGUGACUGUGAUGAGUUCAGAAAGAUCAAGUCAUGACCCCUCAGGGAAUGUCGCCGCAGGUGCCAGUAUAGCUGGUGUCCCCACACAGUACCCCCCAGGCAGAGGUGGACCCCCUCCACCCAUGGGCAGAGCAGCACCUCCCCCAGGUAUGAUGGGACCUCCUCCAGGCAUGCGGUCACCCAUGGGACCUCCGAUGGGAACAGGUUUUGAGUUUGGAGAGCGAGAUGGUCUGUACAGUGAUGACUGGAUCAUGGCAGAUGUUAUGGCUCAGCUGAAGAAGAGGACACUAUGAAAGACAAAAAGAAAUCUGCAGAUACAGCCAUCACAGCGAUGAGUUUUAAGCAGCCCACUCCCAUUCAGAAGGCCUGUGUACCCGUGGGGCUGAUGGGUAAAGACAUCUGCGCAUGUGCCGCCACAGGAACUGGUCAUGACCCCUCAGGGAAGAGGCACAGUCGGAGCUGUAGCAGGUGCCAGUAUAGCUGGUGCCCCCACACAGUACCCCCCAGGCAGAGGUGGACCCCCUCCACCCAUGGGCAGAGCAGCACCUCCCCCAGGUAUGAUGGGACCUCCUCCAGGCAUGCGGUCACCCAUGGGACCUCCGAUGGGAAUGCCUCCUCCUGGUAUGAGGCAUUGCCUUGAAUGUUACAGUAUCAAUACUG